GUGGGGAAUAUUGGACAAUGGGCGCAAGCCUGAUCCAGCCAUGCCGCGUGAGUGAUGAAGGCCUUAGGGUUGUAAAGCUCUUUCAGUGGGGACGAUAAUGACGGUACCCACAGAAGAAGCCCCGGCUAACUUCGUGCCAGCAGCCGCGGUAAUACGAAGGGGGCUAGCGUUGUUCGGAUUUACUGGGCGUAAAGCGCACGUAGGCGGAUCGUUAAGUCGGGGGGGAAAUCCUGGAGCUCAACUCCAGAACUGCCUUCGAUACUGGCGAUCUUGAGUCCGGGAGAGGUGAGUGGAACUCCUAGUGUAGAGGUGGAAUUCGUAGAUAUUAGGAAGAACACCAGUGGCGAAGGCGGCUCACUGGUCCGGUACUGACGCUGAGGUGCGAAAGCGUGGGGAGCAAACAGGAUUAGAUACCCGGGUAGUCC
rnacentral:rRNA from 1 species